CAAAGAUAACGAAUCCAACCAAGCCAAGGACAGCCCAGUGCCUGCCAGAGCCACGAGGUGGUGGCCGAGGAGAGCCCAGUGCCUGCCAGAGCCACGAGGUGGUGGCUGAGGAGAGCCCAGUGCCUGCCAGAGCCACGAGGUGGUGGCACCUCCAAGCUCAGAUUUAGGAGCCACAGAAGCCUCGGC